AACGCACAUUGCGCCCGCCAGCACUCUGGCGGGCAUGCCUGUCCGAGCGUCAUUUCGACCCUCGAGCCCCCGCGGCCCCCCACUGGGAGAACCCCAGCGGGGCGUGCCGGCCCGCGGGGCUCGGUGUUGGGGGACGGCCGCCCGCGCCGCCCCCGAAAUGCAGUGGCGACCCCCGCCGCGGCCUCCCCUGCGCAGUAGCUUCUCUCCCAGAGACCUCGCACCGGAGCGCGGAGGCGGUCACGCCGUAAAGAAGACCCCUUCUCUGAAGUUGACCUCGGAUCAGGUAGGAGUACCCGCUGAACUUAA
rnacentral:misc_RNA from 1 species